ensembl:lncRNA
UUUCAAUCUGAAUAAAACCAGUUAGUUUAGAUCAGAUCAAACACUUUUUUUCAGGUCACCAUUCAGAACAGUUUGUGUUAGAAUUUUGCCACCAGCAUUGACAGUCAAUCUGACGUUUCACACUCCAUUACAAGUACGAGUGACAUCUGCUAAGAACAAAUGUUUUAGCUUGGUGAACAUUCAUGGCAUUUUGCAACACACUGGCAUUUUGUUCAGUUUUAUAUAAUAUACAUUUCAGUCAUUUCCCAGUGUUAUGCUUGGAUACUGAGAGUUUCAGAUGUUUUAUUAGUAAUAUCACAGCUAACAAAAUAUGUUAUAAAAACAUUGUGCUAACAUUCCCCCUAGGUUCUGAAAAUGUUAAUUGAAAUAAUUUAUGAACAUUUUUUCUUGGUUAUGCAAACAUAACAGGAACAUUACAUUUGAUCAUUUUGCAAACAUUAUUUGAUCAUUACUUUUGAAUGUGUUCUGAAUGUUCUGAAACAAGUAAUAUUAAAAAAAAAAUUGGAUGAGCGUCCAACUAAAACAUUGUAAUAACAUUUCUGAAAUAAUAUUAACCAAAGUUUGUACAAUGUUCCUUGUUAGUUGGUAUACUGUAUAUAUGGCAAAACAUAUUUAAUCACAAAACAUUUUUGGCAUUAAUACAUAACAUCAGGCUUUUUUUAAAGAAAGAAAGAAAGAAAGAAAGAAAGAAAGAAAGAAAGAAAGAAAGAAAGAAAGAAAGAAAGAAAGAAAGAAAGAAAGAAAGAAAGAAAGAAAGAAAGAAAGAAAGAAAGAAAGAAAGAAAGAAAGAAAUCAACAUCUUUGUCAAAAAACUGCUUUAAAAGCAAUAAAUGCAGGAAUGCGAGACAUGUUACACAACCCACAUAGAUAUCUGGGUCAGUGGUGGAUUCCUGCUGUUUGACUACAUUUACUAAUGCCCUGUGAAAGCAAACACACACACACACUGGAAGUGUUACAGUGAAUCCAACAGUCUGGUCAGAACCAAAGCAAAUAUUAGAAAGCAAAAACAUUAAGUGAAUAUCUAUAUACAUUCUACAGAGAAUGUGGUCAGUAUCAGUGCAAUGGAAUCUUUUCAUGCUCUGAUUAAUCUACAUGCAUGAAGUGACCAAAUGUAAAAUGACACCAAAGAUAAAAUUGUUAUUUUGAGGAUCUGCAAUAAAAAUUGUUAUAAGUUAUACAAAUGCUGUAGGAACAUUCCAGUUUUGGAAUGCUUCUAAAACAUUGAAAAAAAAGUUUUCUUAUCACGGUUAUGAUGUUAAAGGUCACAGAGGCGUUUCUUACAAAGUUUUAAUAACUUUAUUUUCACCCAUAAUAUGUUAUUUGAAUGCUUAUUUUUAAUAUUCUAAGAACGUUUUUUUUUGUGAUUAGAAUGUUACAUGUACUUACUAGGGUGUUCAGGAUGGGUGCUAUGUGGUUUGCUGGGGUGUUUUGGAUGGCUGAUAGCCAUUGGUUGGCAAUUCACAGUUGCAUUUACACCAAUUUUCAACCAGCUUUGUAUUAUUACAAAUGUCAGUAGUAGAAAUAAAUUAAUAAUUUGUAUAAUUUUUCUGUUAACCUGCACCAAAAUAUCAGUUUAUUUAUCAGCAAAAAUCUGCCAUAGGAAAUAAAACACAUAAUCCAGCAGACUUUGGACAGAUCCAGGGAUUUUGAGAAAACUAAACAUUGUAUUUGAGUAUAGUCUGAUUGAGCACAUUAUUGAUGGUUUUGUUUGUUGCAUUUUCUACCAUCCAUGAAAAGCCACUAAAAACAGUGAUAAAGAUCACUAUAUUAAUGACAGCUGUUAAAUGCUCCUCAUUGAUGUUGCAAUGGAUGUUCCUGCAAAGUCAGAAAAACAUCAUACAUCACUCUUAAAAUGCUGAUUAUAGGCUCAGAUUUUGAUGUAACCUGGAGCUUCUAAACAAACAUCAAGGUGCAAGAAGAGUUCAUAUACUAUGCAUAUGAAAUUGUUACUGUAAGCUGCAAUUCAUUUUAACUGCAAUGAACACAUUUAGGUCACAAGGGGAAAAAUGGACUUACUUCUUAUCUGAUGUCUAUUUCUGCAAGUAAUUAUCACAUAUGCUGCAGCAAUUGUGAUCAAAAUGACGAGAAACCCGCAGACUGAAGACAUCACAAUGGUGCUCCAGACGCUCUGAGGUUCAUCUGACUCUUUUUCUUGUACUUGUUUUGCUAAAAGAACAAUAGAAGUUCAUUGUGUAUAUUUGUGUGGAAUAGUGAAAUGGUGUUUGUGGUCUUAUGUCUCCCUAGAAAAGCUUUCUUUUGGAUGCUAACUCUGUAACCUGACAUAUACUCAGUAAGGUAGCCAUGAGAUGAAAUAUGACCUUAAGGUAUACAACAAAACAAUGGCUCCAGUUCCCAGGGAA